UACGUAGGGCGCAAGCGUUGUCCGGAAUUAUUGGGCGUAAAGAGCUCGUAGGCGGCUUGUCACGUCGGGUGUGAAAGCCCGGGGCUUAACCCCGGGUCUGCAUUCGAUACGGGCAGGCUAGAGUGUGGUAGGGGGAGAUCGGAAUUCCUGGUGUAGCGGUGAAAUGCGCAGAUAUCAGGAGGAACACCAAUUGCGAAGGCAGCUCGCUGGGACGCUACUGACGCUGAGACGCGAAAGCGUGGGGAGCAAACAGG
rnacentral:rRNA from 1 species